AUGUGGUGGCCACCGGCGUCUGGAAGGAGGCGGCGAGGAUGCAGGGCAUCCAGGGCGCGCCCUUCAAGGGCAUCUGCAUGGCCAACGUCACCGCGCGCCGAGAUGACCAAGGAGAGGAAGGUGUCGUGGAACUGCGCCGACGUCGAGGGCGUCUUGGCCGGCGUCACCCCAGCGCCAUGUGCCCCACUGCAGGGCACCCACGCUGGCUCCUGCCCGUUCCCCACCGACAUGGUCGCCGUCGACCAGAUCACUGUGCAGCAGUGCUCAUACUCCAUCGCGCCUGCCAUAUAUAGUGAGUAUCCAGCUUCUUGUUGCACCAAGUGUUGA
rnacentral:rRNA from 1 species